UACGGAGGAUGCGAGCGUUAUCCGGAUUUAUUGGGUUUAAAGGGUGCGCAGGCGGGCUUUUAAGUCAGCGGUGAAAUUUUCAGGCUCAACCUGAACACUGCCGUUGAAACUGGGAGUCUUGAGUAUAGAUGAAGUAGGCGGAAUUCGUUGUGUAGCGGUGACAUGCUUAGAUAUAACGAGGAACUCCGAUUGCGUAGGCAGCUUACUAAACUAUAACUGACGCUCAUGCACGAAAGCGUGGGGAUCAAACAGG
rnacentral:rRNA from 1 species